GAUGAACGCUAGCGGCAGGCUUAACACAUGCAAGUCGAGGGGUAUAGUUCUUCGGAGCUAGAGACCGGCGCACGGGUGCGUAACGCGUAUGCAAUCUACCUUUUGCAGAGGGAUAGCCCAGAGAAAUUUGGAUUAAUACCUCAUAGUAUGUGAGAAUGGCAUCAUUUUCACAUUAAAGUCACAACGGCAAAAGAUGAGCAUGCGUCCCAUUAGCUUGUUGGUAAGGUAACGGCUUACCAAGGCGACGAUGGGUAGGGGUCCUGAGAGGGAGACCCCCCACACUGGUACUGAGACACGGACCAGACUCCUACGGGAGGCAGCAGUGAGGAAUAUUGGACAAUGGGCGCAAGCCUGAUCCAGCCAUGCCGCGUGCAGGAUGACGGUCCUAUGGAUUGUAAACUGCUUUUGUACAGGAAGAAACACUGGUUCGUGAACCAGCUUGACGGUACUGUAAGAAUAAGGAUCGGCUAACUCCGUGCCAGCCGCCGCGGUAAAAC
rnacentral:rRNA from 1 species